UACGUAGGGGGGCAAGCGUUGUUCGGAAUUACUGGGCGUAAAGGGCGCGUAGGCGGCCUUCUAAGUCGAACGUGAAAUCCCCGGGCUCAACCCGGGAACUGCGUCCGAUACUGGAAGGCUUGAAUCCGGGAGAGGGAUGUGGAAUUCCAGGUGUAGCGGUGAAAAUGCGUAGAUAUCUGGAGGAACACCGGUGGCGAAGGCGACAUCCUGGACCGGUAUUGACGCUGAGGCGCGAAAGCCAGGGGAGCAAACGGG
rnacentral:rRNA from 1 species